UGGGGCGUAGCCAAGCGGUAAGGCACGGGACUUUGACUCCCGCAUUCGUAGGUUCGAAUCCUGCCGCCCCAG
rnacentral:tRNA from 1 species